rnacentral:rRNA from 1 species
CCCUUAGAUGUUCUGGGCCGCACACGCGCUACACUGAAGGAGGCAGCGUGUACUCCUGGAUCGAAAGAUUUGGGUAACCCGCGAAUCUCCUUCGUGCUAGGGAUUGAGGUUUGCAAUUAUCCUUCAUGAACGAGGAAUUCCCAGUAAGUGCAAGUCAUAAGCUUGCGCUGACUACGUCCCUGCCCUUUGUACACACCGCCCGUCGCUUCUACCGAUUGAAUGAUUUAGUGAGGACUUCGGACUGGGACCGAUGCGGCUUUCGGGCUGCGUCGGUAUUCUGGAAAGAUGUCCAAACUGUAUCAUUUAGAGGAAGUAAAAGUCGUAACA